rnacentral:rRNA from 1 species
UGAGGAAUAUUGGACAAUGGGCGCAAUCCUGAUCCAGCCAUGCCGCGUGCAGGAAGAAGCAUCUAUGGUGUGUAAACUGCUUUUGUACGGGAAGAAACACUCCUUCGUGAAGGAGCUUGACGGUACCGUAAGAAUAAGGAUCGGCUAACUCCGUGCCAGCAGCCGCGGUAAUACGGAGGAUCCAAGCGUUAUCCGGAAUCAUUGGGUUUAAAGGGUCCGUAGGCGGUUUAGUAAGUCAGUGGUGAAAGCCCAUCGCUCAACGAUGGAACGGCCAUUGAUACUGCUAGACUUGAAUUAUUAGGAAGUAACUAGAAUAUGGAGUGUAGCGGUGAAAUGCUUAGAUAUUACAUGGAAGACCAAUUGCGAAGGCAGGUUACUACUAAUGGAUUGACGCUGGUGAACGAAAGCGUAGGGAGCGAACA